rnacentral:lncRNA from 1 species
AAUUCCUCCUUUUCUCUACAUUUACUCCUCAUUCUUGAGGGGUAUGAAGGGAUGAAGGUCCAUCUUCUAUAACUUCUUUAAGCUGAAUCCAGCACAACAGGAAGUGUUGGUGACUACACACACCCUACCUUGUUCUGCCAAGAGGUCAUCAAGAGCCGGAUGGUUAUAACGCACGAUAUUGGCUAGGGUAGACUCUGGAUGAAACAAGGUGACUCCAAGAGCAAAGCUUAGAAUACCUGAAUACCUGCAAGCAAGACAAGUAGAUUAAGUCCUGACAGAAAAGUAUACGCGGGCCCAAGGGGCAUAUUGUCCUGGAAUUAUGGCCAACAUUCUACAGGGCAACAGGUCAUUGAUUCUGAUCCUGCCAGCCUCCACCCAUCUUAUUGGUGGGCAUCAUCCCAGGGUGAACCUGUGAAAGAUAUUGCUUAGUACUGCUUGGAGCUAUUUUUAGCCUCUGUGGACAGCUCCAUAGGGAGAAUGAACUAUUCGUCAACGUCACCCAUAUUUUACUGAAGAUUUUGAAGGUAUUCCAAUGUGACUGACUACUACGUUUCCUCACAUGUGUGCUGCUGUAUCUGAGAUCACCAUGUUUUCAAUUAUCUCAUAUGAACCUGCCAAGGAUUGGAGGAGGCUUGCCCUGAGGACUGAGCUGCUUGUAGGAGAUGAACAGAAGUUUUGAAAACACAACAGCAAGAUGGGUCUGCUCCAAUGGUUUAUCUACUUCCCAAAGGACUUCCAGCCUUUUAAAUGAGAUGAUCUAUUUGGAAAUAAAGACUUAUACUGCG